rnacentral:rRNA from 1 species
UCGAGCGGAUGAGUGGAGCUUGCUCCAUGAUUCAGCGGCGGACGGGUGAGUAAUGCCUAGGAAUCUGCCUGGUAGUGGGGGACAACGUUUCGAAAGGAACGCUAAUACCGCAUACGUCCUACGGGAGAAAGUGGGGGAUCUUCGGACCUCACGCUAUCAGAUGAGCCUAGGUCGGAUUAGCUAGUUGGUGAGGUAAAGGCUCACCAAGGCGACGAUCCGUAACUGGUCUGAGAGGAUGAUCAGUCACACUGGAACUGAGACACGGUCCAGACUCCUACGGGAGGCAGCAGUGGGGAAUAUUGGACAAUGGGCGAAAGCCUGAUCCAGCCAUGCCGCGUGUGUGAAGAAGGUCUUCGGAUUGUAAAGCACUUUAAGUUGGGAGGAAGGGCAGUAAGUUAAUACCUUGCUGUUUUGACGUUACCAACAGAAUAAGCACCGGCUAACCUCGUGCCAGCAGCCGCGGUAAU